UACGAAGGGGGCUAGCGUUGUUCGGAAUUACUGGGCGUAAAGGGCGCGCAGGCGGCCCUCCAAGUCAGGCGUGAAAGCCCCGGGCUCAACCCGGGAAUAGCGCUUGAGACUGGGGGGCUUGAGUUCGGGAGAGGAGAGUGGAAUUCCCAGUGUAGAGGUGAAAUUCGUAGAUAUCGGGAGGAACACCGGUGGCGAAGGCGGCCCACUGGGCAGUCACUGACGCUGAGGCGCGAAAGCUCGGGGAGCGAACGGG
rnacentral:rRNA from 1 species